rnacentral:other from 1 species
AAAUCCCUGCUUUGUACGUGAUCAAGCUGAAUUUGUUAUGAACCAACAUAAAUACCUUGGGAGUUUGGCUCUAUUGAUGGCUUGUAAGCCUCCUUGAGAGGACACAUAAAUAUUAGUAGGAGAACACCCACCUUGCUUGAGCAGGGUUCAGGUAACGUUCAGCAUAGCGGCAUAGCGGGGUUUUA